GCCUGGGUGGCUCAGUUGGUUGAGCGGCGGACUUCAGCUCAGGUCACCAUCUCGCAGUCCGUGAGUUCGAGCCCCGCAUCAGGCU
rnacentral:tRNA from 1 species